GAGAGAUUUCGUGGAUCACUAUAUUCCCCACCUUCUAUAUUUUCCCUCUCCUACCACGGAAAAUCGGUGAACAUGAAGAAAAGGAGAGAGAGAAGAGGAGUAGAUGGUCGAAUAGUGGUAGAUGGUGGAUGGUGGAAUGGAAGUUAUUUUGGUAACUUAGGGAGCCAAGAAUGGGCAGGGAUAGUUUUAACGGCACUGUUUUCUCAUUCUGUAGUGAUUUUAAUAGUGGUAGGAGAUCUGACGAUUGCGCUGACGCGUUAGAGAAGAUAUAAGAGACAAAUUUCCUGAUAUACACCGUACCUUGAAUUCGGAGAGAGAAGCCAUUAAAUCGUCAAGCUCCUUGGUAGCGUUGCUGGCGGUGUGACCAUUGGUAUAACUCUUCUGGGCCUCGCUGCGAUUCAACGAUCCGUGCUGUCUAGGAGGAUAACCAUCGUACACGGGUUGCACCUCCGUGGAUGUUUCUUGAAUGGUAACUUUCACUCUACCAUCGGGAGGAUAAUCCCUGACGAAGAAGACCGCGUUAAAAUCAACUCCGAAGAAUAAAAGAGAGACGCUUACCCGUUCGGUACCGCGGUGCUCAAUUCUUCGAGCAACGAAUCGACGGUGGGCCUUGAAGCUGACAUGCUACUCGGAGAACGAAGCAUCGGACUAGAAUCACC